rnacentral:rRNA from 1 species
CAGAGGGUGCGAGCGUUGUUCGGAAUUAUUGGGCGUAAAGAGCGCGUAGGCGGUCUGCUAAGUCUGGUGUGAAAGCCCUCGGCUUAACCGGGGAAGUGCAUUGGAUACUGGCAGGCUUGAGUGUGAGAGAGGAUCGUGGAAUUCCUGGUGUAGCGGUGAAAUGCGUAGAUAUCAGGAGGAACACCGGUGGCGAAGGCGGCGAUCUGGAUCAUAACUGACGCUGAGGCGCGAAAGCGUGGGUAGCAAACAGGAUU